rnacentral:rRNA from 1 species
AUUGAACGCUGGCGGCAUGCCUUACACAUGCAAGUCGAACGGUAACGGGCCUUCGGGUGCCGACGAGUGGCGAACGGGUGAGUAAUACAUCGGAACGUGCCCGAUCGUGGGGGAUAACGAGGCGAAAGCUUUGCUAAUACCGCAUACGAUCUACGGAUGAAAGCAGGGGACCGCAAGGCCUUGCGCGGACGGAGCGGCCGAUGGCAGAUUAGGUAGUUGGUGGGAUAAAAGCUUACCAAGCCGACGAUCUGUAGCUGGUCUGAGAGGAUGAUCAGCCACACUGGGACUGAGACACGGCCCAGACUCCUACGGGUGGCAGCAGUGGGGAAUUUUGGACAAUGGGCGCAAGCCUGAUCCAGCCAUGCCGCGUGCAGGAUGAAGGCCUUCGGGUUGUAAACUGCUUUUGUACGGAACGAAAAGCCUUCUUUUAAUACAGGAGGGUCAUGACGGUACCGUAAGAAUAAGCACCGGCUAACUACGUG